rnacentral:rRNA from 1 species
UACGGAGGGGGCUAGCGUUGUUCGGAAUUACUGGGCGUAAAGCGCGCGCAGGCGGUUCUCCAAGUCAGUGGUGAAAGCCCGGAGCUCAACUCCGGAACUGCCAUUGAAACUGUUGAACUUGAGGACGAGAGAGGUGAGUGGAAUUCCCAGUGUAGAGGUGAAAUUCGUAGAUAUUGGGAAGAACACCAGUGGCGAAGGCGGCUCACUGGCUCGUAUCUGACGCUCAGGCGCGAUAGCGUGGGGAUCAAAACAGG